rnacentral:misc_RNA from 1 species
GAUGAAGAACGUAGCGAAAUGCGAUACGUAAUGUGAAUUGCAAAUUCAGUGAAUCAUCGAGUCUUUGAACGCACAUUGCGCCCCCUGGUAUUCCGGGGGGCAUGCCUGUCCGAGCGUCAUUGCUGCCCUCAAGCACGGCUUGUGUGUUGGGCCCCGUCCUCCGAUCCCGGGGGACGGGCCCGAAAGGCAGCGGCGGCACCGCGUCUGGUCCUCGAGCGUAUGGGGCUUUGUCACCCGCUCUGUAGGCCCGGCCGGCGCUUGCCGAUCAACCCAAAUUUUUAUCCAGGUUGACCUCGGAUCAGGUAGGGAUACCCGCUGAACUUAAGCAUAUCAAUAAGCGGAGGA